rnacentral:rRNA from 1 species
ACUUUAAAGAGUUUGAUCCUGGCUCAGGACGAACGCUGGCGGCGCGCCUAACACAUGCAAGUCGAACGGUGAAAUGAAGCUUGCUUCAUGGAUCAGUGGCGGACGGGUGAGUAACACGUGAGCAACCUGCCUUUCAGUGGGGGACAACAGUUGGAAACGACUGCUAAUACCGCAUAACGUGCUUGGGGGGCAUCCCCUGAGUACCAAAGAUUUAUCGCUGAAAGAUGGGCUCGCGUCUGAUUAGAUAGUUGGUGAGGUAACGGCCCACCAAGUCGACGAUCAGUAGCCGGACUGAGAGGUUGAACGGCCACAUUGGGACUGAGACACGGCCCAGACUCCUACGGGAGGCA